ensembl:lncRNA
AGCGUUCGGUCGUUCUGUCAUUUCGGUCUUUCUAUCUUUUGUUCGAUCGUUCUAUCGUUUCAGUCUUUCUAUCUGUCGUUCGGUCAUUCUAUCAUUAGGUCAUUCUAACUGUCAUUCUAGCGUUCGGUCAUUCUGUCGUUUCGGUCUUUCUAUCUGUCGUUCGGUCAUUCUAUCGUUCGGUCGUUCUAACUAUCGUUCUAUCGUUUUUUGUCUUUUUUAUCUUUUGUUCGGUCGUUCUAUCAUAAGGGUCAUUCUAACUGUCGUUCUAGUGUUCGGUCGUUCUGUCGUUCGGUCAUUCUAUGGUUUGGUUGUUCUAUUGUUUUAGUCUUUCCAUCUGUUGUUCUAUCGGUCGUUCUAUCGUUUCAGUCUUUCUAUCUGUCAUUCGGUCAUUCUGUCUUUUAAAAUAACUUGUUGGAUAUUCACAUCUGUGAGUGACUGAUUUGGCGAGUGAUUUUAGACUAUUUAAUUAGUUGAAAUGUGUAUGAGAGAAUGACUAUAUAACCUGAAGUAAAUGAAUGAAAGUCAGGCCUUUGCAAGUAAAAUUAUAUGACAAGUCAUUUUAGUUUGUCUGGGGCAAUGCAAAGACCCACAGAUCAACAGAGAUGGUUUUGAGAAUUUAUGUUGUGCAUUUACUGUUUUAUGCACAGAAAGUGUAAAGGAAAGAUUUUGUUUUUUAAUGUCCAAUUCUAUUUUUAUUGUAAUAAAGUUGUUGAGCCAAUACUUCA